GAUGAACGCUAGCGACAGGCUUAACACAUGCAAGUCGAGGGGUAGCAGGGAUAAAGCUUGCUUUAUUUGCUGACGACCGGCGCACGGGUGAGUAACGCGUAUGCAACCUACCUAUCAGUAAGGGAUAGCCCAUUGAAAGAUGGAUUAAUACCUUAUAAAGCAGUUGUUCCGCAUGGGGCAUUUUGCUAAAGAUUAAUUGCUGAUAGAUGGGCAUGCGUUCCAUUAGUUAGUUGGUAAGGUAACGGCUUACCAAGACAUCGAUGGAUAGGGGUUCUGAGAGGAAGGUCCCCCACACUGGUACUGAGACACGGACCAGACUCCUACGGGAGGCAGCAGUGAGGAAUAUUGGUCAAUGGUCGAAAGACUGAACCAGCCAAGUCGCGUGAGGGAAGACAGCCCUAUGGGUUUUAAACCUCUUUUGUAAUGGAAGAAUAAGUCUUACGAGUAGGACGAUGCCAGUACAUUACGAAUAAGCAUCGGCUAACUCCGUGCCAGCAGCCGCAGUAAUAC
rnacentral:rRNA from 1 species